rnacentral:rRNA from 1 species
CUACGGGGGGCUCCAGUGAGGAAUAUUGCACAAUGGGGGGAACCCUGAUGCAGCAACGCCGCGUGGAGGAUGACGCAUUUCGGUGUGUAAACUCCUUUUAUAUGUCAAGAAAAUGACGGUAGCAUAUGAAUAAGCACCGGCUAACUCCGUGCCAGCAGCCGCGGUAAUACGGAGGGUGCAAGCGUUACUCGGAAUCACUGGGCGUAAAGGACGCGUAGGCGGGUUGGAAAGUCAGGUGUGAAAUCCUACAGCUUAACUGUAGAACUGCACUUGAAACUUCUAAUCUAGAGUAUGGGAGGGGGAGAUGGAAUUAGUGGUGUAGGGGUAAAAUCCGUAGAUAUCACUAGGAAUGCCUAGAGCGAAGGCGAUCUCCUGGAACAUUACUGACGCUAAGGCGUGAAAGCGUGGGGAGCAAACAGGAUUAGAUACCCCAGUAGUC